UACGUAGGUGUCGAGCGUUGUCCGGAUUUAUUGGGCGUAAAGAGCCCGCAGGCGGCUUGGCAAGUUUGAGGUGAAAUCUCCCCGGCUUAACUGGGAGGGGGCCUCGAAAACUGCCAGGCUUGAGGCAUGGAGAGGGAUGCGGAAUUCCCGGUGUAGUGGUGAAAUGCGUAGAUAUCGGGAGGGAACACCAGUGGCGAAGGCGGCAUCCUGGCCAUGUCCUGACGCUCAGGGGCGAAAGCGUGGGGAGCAAACCGG
rnacentral:rRNA from 1 species